GUCAAAUGAGGUGUCUCCGUUUCCGCUCCUCGGGUUAUAAGUCAGAUCACAUUUUUUUUUCGAAAGCUCGCUUGUUGAAGUCUACUUUCUGUAUCACCAUGCAGUGCUAAAUCAGAACAUAUGCUGCCUCAGAGGAGAAAAAAAUGCUGAAGACUGGACGUACAACAGUAUAUGGGCGCCCCCUAGCGUUAGGAUUAUUUCUGGUCAAACUCGCUCUUUAAGGUGGAAGAGCCAUCUUAAAUGGAAACUACAUCGGUCGCUCGCCUCUCACAUACACCAAAGUAACACGCGCCUAUUUUAAUCUGAUUAAUGCUUUUGAGAUUUCCUUCUAAUUGACAUGGACGUUGCAGAGGUGCACUUGUAGGUCUCUUCCACACAUUUUCUCCACAGUGUUGUUCACGCACGGGAGUAUUGCAGCGUUUCGGUUAUUUUUGGGCAGUUUACUGAAACGGUAAAAAGUGAGCACCGUACCUCAUCUCUGACCAUUCAAAAGCCUGUAUGUGAACAAGACAGCCGAAAGCAAUACCGCAGACGUAAAUUAUAGCAUAGCCUACGAUGCAAAGUGGAUUUUAUCCCAAGAUCAAGGUAGAAUACGACAUUCUGGCAGACUAGCUGUGCAUUGUCUCAGACCUCUGCAGGACUGUGAUGCGGGCAGAGGACACGGCCACUGUGGGAACUGAAGACUACUGAGUGGUGACGUUGACAUCAACACCAAAUGCCUGAUGGGAGGAAAAGCAUCACGCAAAGAUCCCACAAUGACAAAGCAGGGAAGGUAGGCCUUAAUGUAUGCUUUUGACCUACUGGAGCAACUAACCUGUAAUGGAUUCUUUUAUAGGCAAAAGGAUCAUUGGCUCAACUGACAACAAACUGCUUGAAAUCAACGACAUACAUAUUGUAAUUCUGCAAAUAAUGUUAUGAUGUAUGAUUAAAUAAUGCAACUGAACAAGAUGUAGCACUGUAUCUCUCUAGAGAAUGAUGCAAUGAAAAAAAAAAACUUUUCUUGAUGACAAUAGAAGACAUGUUUAAUUAUCAACUGUACAAUAAUUUCUGCCAAAAGCACAAGUAAAUAAACAUGGCUCCUGAAUGCAUGUUGUUUGUUUUUAUUGCAUAUCUAUCUAUCUAUCUAUCUAUCUAUCUAUCUAUCUAUCUAUCUAUCUAUCUAUCUAUCUAUCUAUCUAUCUAUCUAUCUAUCUAUC
ensembl:lncRNA